CCUGGUGAAGCUGAACACUCAGAGAAGACUGAUGACAGCACAAAGGGAGAAUCUGAAAUCAAGUCUUUAUCAUCUGAAACCAAGGAGAAUGAAGAGCUGCAGAAAGCACCUGAGAUCACUGAAAAGGUCAGUGAACUGAAAGAACCUGGUGAAGCUGAACACUCAGAGAAGACUGAUGACAGCACAAAGGGAAAAUCUGAAAUCAAGU